rnacentral:rRNA from 1 species
UACGGAGGGGGCUAGCGUUGUUCGGAAUUACUGGGCGUAAAGCGCACGUAGGCGGACCAUCAAGUUGGGGGUGAAAUCCCGGGGCUCAACCCCGGAACUGCCUUCAAAACUGUUGGUCUGGAGGUCGAGAGAGGUGAGUGGAAUUCCGAGUGUAGAGGUGAAAUUCGUAGAUAUUCGGAGGAACACCAGUGGCGAAGGCGGCUCACUGGCUCGAUACUGACGCUGAGGUGCGAAAGCGUGGGGAGCGAACAGG